CCCAGACUGGUCUGGAACUCCUGGCCUCAAGCAAUCCUCCUACCUCGGCUUCCCAAAGUGCUAGGAUUACACAUAUGAGCCACCUUGCUCAGUCCAAAUUUCUUCAGUUUCAAGGAUGUACAAGGAUAACCCUCCAAUACAUUAGUCUCUUUUAUUUUAAAAAGUAGUAUUUAGAGUAUAUUUAUUUAAUGUAGAAUCAAAGGGAGAGUAUAGAAACAUAACUUGGAUGUCUAUGAACAAAGAUGAUUCUUUUUAGGGACAAAAUUGUAUGGUGUAUAAUGAGUUGAAUUUUUCAUGGAAGUUUUAUGCGCUAACUCACAUAUUGGGAUUAUGGUAACUAUACACACACUUAGUCAAGCCAAUAUUAGUCUUUUAAAAGGCAUUUUAAGGACAUUGAAUUAUCUCAUUUUUUGAAAAAAGUAUUUUAUUAUAGCAAGAACACAACAUGAGAUAUGCUCUCUUAAACUUUUAAGUGUACAAAGCAACACUGUUAACUACAGGGGCAGUGUUAUACAGCAUAUCUCUAGAACUUACUCAUCUCUCAUUACUGUAACUUUGCCUGUUGAUUAGCAGCUCCAAAUCCUUCCUGCUUCUGCCCCUGGCAGUCACCAUUCUGCUCUUUGAUUGUAUACUUUGGCUAUUUUAGGUAUGUGAAAAUUAAGGACAGAUCCUAUGCUGACCUGAUAAACAAAGAUAGCUCUUUCGAGCUCAAUGUACAUUGAGUGUAACAAGAGGGAAGGAGGGAGGAAACCACUGCCCAUUUGGGAUUCCUUCAAAUUCACAUCUCUCCAAAAUGGGAGACUUGUAUUUUCUGACAUUCAACUUAAUCGAAGAAUAAAGCUUUAACAGUGGCAUCAGUGACAUGAUGAAUGAUGCAUCAUUUUGAAGUAAUAAUGGUUUUCCCAGUGACUCAGAAAUAGCAGUAUGUUCAGAUUCAGUGUGCCUGUUCAUGAGAGCUCUGCAGAAAUUGCACAUCUGGCUCUUUGCCUGUGCACCUGAAGUUAUCUCAGGAGAAAUUAUACAAAUUAAAUACAGACACAGAGAAGGUCUUUUUUAAUUCAAAGGAAAAGAAUAUAUAUUCAAGAAAAGCAAAAAAGGUAAGAGAAAAGGUAAGGGACUGUAGUGAUAUUAAGCUAGGAAACUAACAAAAUGAUGACAAUAUAAAAUAAAUGAUGUGAAAAGAACAACAAAAACAAUAUAAAGUAGAAAUGAAAAUAUAUUGUGUUGGCUCAGGAAAAUAUUUAAAUUACUUUCUUUCUUCUAUUCCAUAGGUGGAAGUUGGGCCUUUGGUCAUUAAUUCUCUCUCUCUCUCUUGCUAAUUUUUGCAAAUAGGGAGAACUUGGAACAUCUGCCAAAAUUUUUAUUUUGUGCUUUAUUUUGGCUACCUGUUUAUUCCAUAGAACUAUGACUUGUCCUGGUGAUUCAGGCUUACUCCUUAAUUUCUGAACUGAUUGCCAGAGAGUCAGGGAUAUACACAUACAUUAUAUAUACACACACACACACACACACACACACACACACACACACACACAUAUAUAUAUACACACACAUACAUAUAUAUAUAUACACACACAUACAUAUACAUAUAUGGGAGAUUAUAUCUAUAUCUAUAUCUAUGUCUAUCCCUCCCAUGUUAUUUCCUGCUUUUCUACUACUUGUUCCACUUUCCCCAGGUCUUUUGAAACUAAAAAUAAAAUUAUCACCUCACUGUAAGUAUCAUGUCUUCUGCUUCAGGGGUUGCACACUGCUUCAAGGUAGUAAUUGUUAAUUAUUCAAGACUGACUUCUUGUAAAGUAAUCUUCUAGAAAGACAGCUGGACUUUUAAGACUUCAUGAACUCUAAAGAUAUGGCAGGCCAGGAUCCAAGGCCAAAGGUAUAAUACCUCCAAAAGCUACGGUUAUGAGUCUUGGAAGUCAGCCCUUGGUUGUAUCAGAGGAAAUACAGUUCUCUCUAACCAUGAAUGCUGAAGAGGAAGAAUCAAGCUGGAGGCUAGGAUUAUGCCAUAUCAUACUGCUUUUGGAUCUCAGCACACAGGAUGCCAGGGGAGGGUAAUGUUCUUACCAUGAAGCUUGUCAUCAGAGGUCCAAAAGAAGAGAGCCACAAAAUGUGUACUGUUCAAUGUUGUGUGCACAUCUAGCAUGAAACAUCUUUUGCAUCAGUGACCAAUCUGAGUACUUACAUCUUAACUCUAAGGCACACACUAAAAUACAUAAUGCCUGGUUGUUCCUAGAUACUUACUUGGUAUAAAAUUUAAUUUUUUCUAAAAAUGAUCUUAUAUGGUAGCUUUUUUUUUUGAGACGGAGUUUCGCUCUUGUUGCCCAGGCUGGAGGGCAAUGGCAUGACCUCAGCUCACUGCAACCUCCAUCUCCCGGGUUCAAGCAAUUCUCCUGCUUCAGCCUCCAGAGUAGCUGGGAUCACAGGCGCCCAUCACCAUGCCCAGCUAAUUUUUUGUAUUUUUAGUAGAGACAGGGUUUCCCCAUGUUGGCCAGGCUGGUCUUGAACUCCUGACCUCAGGUGAUCCACCUGCCUCUGCCUCCCAAAGUUCUGGGAUUACAGGCGUGAGCCACCACGCCCGGUCAUAUGUAGCUCUUUACUGUCUUUACAGCAUGAUAGCUGCUUAAUACAUAUUCAAUAUUCAUUGAAUUAUAACAUUCACUGAAUUGCAAUAUUUUUUCUCAUUGUUCACUCUGUUUUCCGAUUUUUCACAUACCCAUCCACAUCCCCAAUGCUCACAACUAGCCGCAACAUGAAUACUUUAAAUCAAUGAAGUCCCUGAAAUAAAAAAUUAUGAAUAAUCAUUAUUUUUGUCGUUUUUGUCAUUGUUUACAUCUAGUGAGACAGAAUUCUUUAUUACCAAAUUCUGUUCACGUUAUAGCCACUUCCUUCUCUGAAACUUCAUUAUCACCAUUAUAGCUUCUGGUAUGAUCAGCUAAUCUCACCAUUACAAAAGUCACUUACCUGAUCCUCCUGAAAAGUGUCUUGACCUAACCCUAAUACAAAGCAUUAAUUUUUUAAGUUUUCUUUUAUGGGAAAUUAUUUACAUUUAAUUAUAACACACAUAUAGUAAAAUGUACAUAUCAUCAAUACACACUUCCACGAAGUUUAACAAAAUGAAUUAAUACAUAUAACCACCAUAGAUCAAAUAAAAUAUUUAAACUUUCAGAUAGCCAUACUAAUGGCCUAAAUGCAAAUCUCUCUGCAUAGUAUUUCAAAAACUGUAGAGAUGAACCGCAAGAACAAAAUGAACACACAUUCUACAUCUUCA
rnacentral:lncRNA from 1 species